AUUGAACGCUGGCGGCAGGCCUAACACAUGCAAGUCGAGCGAGCGGCGGACGGGUGAGUAAUGUAUGGGGAACUGCCCGAUAGAGGGGGAUAACUACUGGGAACGGUGGCUAAUACCGCAUACUAUCGGAUGAACCCAUAUGGGAUUAGCUGGUUGGUGGGGUAAAGGCUCACCGAGGCGACGAUCUCGAGCUGGUCUGAGAGGAAGAACGGCAAAACUGGGACUGAGAAACGGCCCAGACUCCUAGGGGAGGCAGCAGUGGGGAACAUUGCACAAUGGGCGAAAGCCUGAUGCAGCCAUGCCGCGGGGAUGAAGAAGGCCUUAGGGUGGUAAAGUACUUUCAGCGGGGAGGCGUUACCCGCAGAAGAAGCACCGGCUAACUCCGUGCCAGCAGCCGCGGUAAUAC
rnacentral:rRNA from 1 species